UACGUAGGGUGCGAGCGUUGUCCGGAAUUAUUGGGCGUAAAGAGCUUGUAGGCGGUCUGUCGCGUCUGCUGUGAAAAUCCGGGGCUCAACCCCGGACUUGCAGUGGGUACGGGCAGACUAGAGUGUGGUAGGGGAGACUGGAAUUCCUGGUGUAGCGGUGAAAUGCGCAGAUAUCAGGAGGAACACCGAUGGCGAAGGCAGGUCUCUGGGCCACUACUGACGCUGAGGAGCGAAAGUGUGGGGAGCGAACAGG
rnacentral:rRNA from 1 species